AACGCUGGCGGCGUGCUUAACACAUGCAAGUCGAGCGAUGAAGCUCCUUCGGGAGUGAAUUAGCGGCGGACGGGUGAGUAACACGUGGGUAACCUGCCUCAUAGAGAGGAAUAGCCAUUCGAAAGGAUGAUUAAUACCUCAUAAUAUUGUAGCUUCGCAUGGAGCAACAAUCAAAGGAGCAAUCCGCUAUGAGAUGGACCCGCGGCGCAUUAGCUAGUUGGUGAGGUAACGGCUCACCAAGGCGACGAUGCGUAGCCGACCUGAGAGGGUGAUCGGCCACAUUGGGACUGAGACACGGCCCAGACUCCUACGGGAGGCAGCAGUGGGGAAUAUUGCACAAUGGGGGAAACCCUGAUGCAAGCAACGCCGCGUGAGUGGUGACGGCCUUCGGGUUGUAAAGCUCUGUCUUCAGGGACGAUAAUGACGGUACCUGAGGAGGAAGCCACGGCUAACUACGUGCCAGCCGCUGC
rnacentral:rRNA from 1 species